UUACGUGUUGGAACUGUUGAGUCAUGGCCUGCACCACUGAUUGAGCACCUGAGGAAAGGACCGGGUCAGCCCUGGGAGCACAGGUGAAGGCAAUUCAUCUGUGCAACCAGAAGGGGUGGAGCCUGGCUGCACCACUCUUAGACCUCAUUUAAGGGCUGAUUGCCAGUCUAGAAGGAUCUCUGGUCGUAGAUUCUUCCUUGGUGAAGCUUUUCCCUGUGAACCUGGAAUCUCCUGAUAUGGCAUUUUCAGUGGAAUUACGUGAAGAUGUCAUAGAGAAGGAGGUUCUGAAAGAGAAGUGGUUGAAACAAUGAGCAGCGUGGAGGAGGUGCUGCUGCUGCAGUAUCCCUUGCGUACUACACUGAAAGAAAUUGCCUGGACGUGCACCUGGAAUGUGCUCAAAUGAUACCGUGCAACUUGGAAAUGCCCAGAGGCCUUUAUGAUGACACUAUUUUGAAUUAUUGGGGAAAAAAAAAAAGAUUUAAAAUAUUUGCUCUUUGAAUGAAAUGAGUAACUCCUAGAAUGACUUCAGGUGUGUAAGAAUCCAUCACUUCCCUAGAAAGCACAAAAAUCUCAUGAAAGCAAAGAGAAUUGUACCUCCAAGAAACUCCUUAACAGCCACCACCACCAGAAGAUAAUGUCUGAUGAGCUUUUCUCAACCAAGAAUUUUCCUCCACCAUCUAAAAAAAAAGAUUGCAGUUGUUGCAAAGGAAUCAAGGAGAAAGAGGACAGCUGGGAGCAUUAAAAGCAGCCACGGAUGCUCCUUGCAAAACCUGAUUCUGAAGAGACGAGCAUCGGGGCAGAAUACCUGGAAGUCUGACACCAGUCUUGCAGUGUGGCAUGGAACACGGACUGCAGCAGUCAGAGACCUGACCUGUGCCUCACUUCAGGUGAAGUUCGUGUCUUGCAGCUCCAGGGCUGUUCUCACAGCUUUCCCAGAAAGAGAAUUUGACUUUUGGUAUGCACUUUCUGGAGAUGAAAGUACACUGCUGCUUAUUUUUAUCUCAGAUCAAAUGAUGAGCAAUCACAUCUGGAGCAGGAUGCAGAAGAUCUGAAUAGAAGCCCAAGUUCUGUCACAGAUGCACAACAGAUUUUGGCAUGAUAGCUCCUGAUGUAGAUAUAUUCUGGCUAACUUUCAAGCUAACCAGGUGGGAUACGUAUAGCUGGAAGUCCUUAGGUAGGAUUCCCAGUCCCCAGCCUUCUGUACUUUUAAAUCUAUGCUGCUCAUGGUAUUCAGCCUUGUCAGCUCCAAAACUAGGCAGAAUGUGCCUGUAUUGACUGACACAUCAAUGUCUGCCUUGCAGAACAGCAGCUAUUCAGGCUCUGAAUCAUCCUGCUCUGUCAGGCCAUGGGGAAGGACUGGGAAGCCAGAAUCAUGGCAUCUGAAACUUCAUAUUCCUGCACUCUGGAGAGAACCUGUGGGUGAGCCCUGGGAGCCAGAGGCCUCAAAGUGCCAGAGGGCAACCAUGGCUCUUGGUGUCACCUAUGAAACUGAGGACUUGAAAUCCCUGACUUUAACCUGAAUACAGAUCCUUCCACCUUAAGCCCUUUCCUAAUGAAAUCAAUAUUCUGGUCAGCUCUACUGCUAAGAAAAACAGCUGUAGCAGGAAGGGGAACAUAUUUUGUUUUCCCAGGUCCCUGCGCUGAUGUUUCUCAAAUGAAAUUUUCUCUGACGUUCAGGCAUAAAAUCUUGAAAUUAAAAUGAAAUGUAAUUGCUAAUGAAUGGAAAGUAUUACAUGCUGGCCAGCUCUAUUUGUACAUACAAAAUAUCCUAGACACCUCAAAGUUUCUUUCAUGCCAUCUCAGAUUAUUGUCCUUUAUUGUUUUACCAAGAUCUCCAAAGCCAGCUGCUUAGGGGUUUUCACUGCCCAAACUCCCACUCGUUAUUCCAUUUGACACUCGGAUCCCUUGAGCAGCACUGAAAAAUUACUAAGCCUUAAUAUCUGUGCAAGAAUUCCAAACAAUAGCUACAACGAAGGAACUGGUCCUGGCACUAAAAACCCAUGAAUAUGUAAGACAAAUUGUAUCUGGAGAGAUAACGGGCUACCAGAAUCGUCUUUCAAAAGAUAUACAAUGUAAGCUGCACACUCCUCAAUAGCUCAAGGGGCUUACAGUCAAUAAAUUUAACAGGCUCAACCUAGAAAGUCAAAGCUAAAGUACAGUAUGCAAAUACAAGCUAGAGUGGACUCUUCUUUCUACCUUAGGACAGAGUUAAUAGAGGGGAAAUGACAAAAUACAUAAAAAGGAAUGCACGGGAUUUGACAGAGCAUGUUUUUUUUUCUUUUCACUUCAAGGCAAACUACCAGACUAUUUUGGUUUACAAAUAAAUCAAACAAAGAACUUUUAUCAGUUUGCAUAAAAGUCUCAUUUUCAGCACUGGAAAGAUUAAGCUUCAGAGCCUUUUUCUGUGUGUGUAUGUGAGGGAUUACAAAGGAAGUAGUGUAAAUAAUGACCUUGCUGAAAACAGAUUAGCUUCAAUGAUUAUAUAGUAAAAUAGUAAUGUUUUCUUCACUUACAGAUUAAAAUAUCAAUUGACAGUUUCCAUAAACAAGUAAAGCUCAUGGUUAUUCAGUGUAAUAGGAUAAUGACAGUAGCAGUAUCUGACAGCCCCAUUUCUGCCUCUUGACAUUAUUUAUGGUAUUCUGAUGCUCAGUCUAGGGAGCUGGAUCUUCAGCUUUGCCAGAUGUGUUUGCUGUGGCUCAGUGUUUAUGUGACAAAAACAUUUCCUUUAGGAAUUUCCUUUAUUUUACAGUUAUGUGGUCACACUAAAUACAAAUGUAUUGGACCCAUCACAUUCUUAUGGUUAUAAUCUUUUAAAGUCAACUUUUCAAGACCUACCCCUACUGCUUUCAGGUGACUAAGAGCACAUAUGGGCUGAUUUCUCACUAGCUUACCCCUCAUACUGACAUCUACACUUAGUUUAAGUUGUCGGUCAAAACUGAAGCAGCUGGACUAUUCCCACCGAGACUCUGUUUUUCUUUUUUUUCUCUCCUGUCUUUGCUGUUUCUAAAAAGUACUACAAAGGAUGGAAACAGCAUACAUGGGAUGGAUACGGUGUUGGGUGUGGCAGGCCAGGUCUCUGCUCUGACUCAAUGGGGACUCUCAGGACAGAAAAAUCCAGCUUUGAGAGGGGCAGAGCAGAAGAAGGCUCCUGUAGUCCAAGUUAGUAUUUUAAUACAGAAAGCAACAGGCAAAUAUUCCUUCUCUUUGUGAGCAGGUCGGUGUUUAUGAGCACAAACUCAUCACAGGAGCCUUGGCUUGCAGUACCUGGGUUCUUCAAACAAAGCAAAGUGCAGUCUUGUCUAGCGUAUGUCCUGGCAGAGAAACCAGGGCUUUAAAGCAGCCUAUAAAAAUUAUGGUACACUAGCAAAAUUGGUUAAUGUUUAAUUAUGUUCAAUGGAGAAAGACUUAAAAGCCUGAAAUUGUGACUUCCUAAAUUGUCAAUCAUCUAAAAGACGCAGUAAGUUAAGAUUUUUCUUGAACAGUAUCUUCUAUUAAAUUUAUUAAGCUGUAUGACACUGAGCCUGGGUUUCUACUUUAACUUCAUGCCAAUGGAAAGGAAGAUAAGCAGACAGGAAAGAGGGUAUUGUGCUAUAGACUUGAGGUGCUGGAUUUUUUUUUUUUCUUUUAAAUUCUAUCACAAAACUUGUUUUAGGCAGAUCUCUGAAAAGAGCUCCCCCGAACUGGUCAAUGCAUCUUCAAAAAGGCUGUUAACCCUAACUGUGGGUAUUUGUACUCAUGGUAUGCCAUUUCUUAGCCUGUGUCUCUACAACAGUUUGUGAGUGCUGCGUAAUGGGGCUGUAGGCAAACACUGUGUAAAGCAGUCACAUCCAGCAAUGGUAGCAGUCUGUCUUCAGAAGCACAGAGCACAGUUCAAGCUACAAAAUCCAUUCAGAAUGUCGAAAAAAAUCAAGGAGAUUAACUUAUGCUGCACUCAGUGCUGCUCUAGUUGGUUUAAAACCUUAGCCAUAUUUACACUGAAGGGUCAAAAUGGUAGAAACAAACAAAACAAAUGAGCCUCAGCACCUGUUGUACAUGCAAGUAAUUGGAAAAAAAAAGGCUUAAAAAACAGGCUGCCAACCUUUGAUCUAUGGAGAAGGUGUCUGGACAUCACACAAGAUAUGACAGAGGAGCUCUCAAUGUAGAAGGGCAAUAGUAAGAAGCCACCCAGGGAAAGCAACAGACUAAUCUCAGAGUCCAGUGUAAGCAGAAAUCUUCUAACAGACAAAAUCAAUCCCUUCCAUGUUUUCUUUGUAGCUAAGUUGAGGAAACUAUCUCACGUAGAGAGUGAAAAAUGCACAUCCAGUGUAAUAAAUCUGCAUCCACAUAUGUCUAGCAAUUCACUUUUUCUUAUAAUUACCUUUUCUCUGUUAGUUCCUCUUGUUUCUUCAGCAGUCGUCCCAUGGAUACUUUCACGAAGAUGAUCUUGAGAAUAGAGAAUGCGCUGUCUUGUAAAGAGAAGAGAAAAUAAAAGGUUUUUGAGGGUUCUAUUCACCAUAACACGCCCAAGGGACUUCACGUACCAUCUAACUGUGCUGAUGGUAGCAGGAAAAGGCAACAGACAAAUGUAAGUCGACAAACUAGAACGCUGUUGUGCUUUCAGACUGCAUUAAAAAAGUGAAAGUCUAAAUGUUUUUCCUUUUCUUUACUUUUGCUUAGAAGUCUUUGAGGAAAGACUGAUGUUCCUUUUCCUUUACUUUUCCCAAAGUUUUAUUUUCCAGGUGUUGGGCCUGCAAAGAGCUGCUUUUAAAACUCUGGCGACAAUUUUACAUUCUGAAAGGAAUUCAAACAUUUUCACUUGCUCCAAAAUAUAUCAACUUAUAUAGCUUAUAUAACAAAUAUAGCUUAACAUUAAAAAAUACGGUGCCGUUACAUUUAUAAAACCCAAACCUUAAAUUCUUCAGUAUAAACUCCUUUACUUGUCAACUCUAUUUCAAUACAGAAAAAUAAUUUUAAAUACGAUCACUAUAAUAUCCUUAUGACAUACUUUUUUAUGAAGGUAUAGGAAAGGAGUCAGCAGUAUUCUGAAUACUAACUGAACAUAGCUUAUGACUAUGGCUAGCCAGACAGUAUUUGAAGUAGAUGGGAUCUGUUUCUGCUUUGUCUGGUCUUUGCCCAUAUCUAACCUAUAAAAAAGGCAAUUACUGAAGCAAAUGAUGAAGUUAGUAUUCAAUAAGAUAGUAAACUACUCAGUCAAAUGGUAUCAUACAGGUAAGAAAGGUCAAAUAGAAUUGAAACAGCAUAUUUAAGAAGAGGUAGGAAGCAUCAGCCCUAUCUACAAACAAUCAGUGAAGGGUAGGAUUUUCAACAGCCCCACUGAAGUUGAAGGGAAUCUCCCACUGACUCAAGCCAGUCAAACUUUAACUUUUAACUUUUUGGAAAACUUUAACCAAUCUAAUUUCAAAGGUCAUGUGCUUGUUGUUCAAAAUUAUGUGACUGUAAAUAACUUUUGUUACAGCAAAUGCUUAUCUGAUUUUAUAUUGCAUAACAAAAGGAUACAAUCUCACUCUGUAAGAUGCUCUAAACAGCGAAUUAUUUGUGAAGCAGUUCUAUCAUUACCUUAGUUGCCACUUGCUGUUCUCGAGUCCACAUUUUGUUUGUGUCACUGGUUCUAUUAAACUGCAGUGUUUCUUUUUUCUAAUUGUUUUUUGUUUUUCUGAAGUAAAUAUAAAUGUAAAGUUAGUGGUUAAAGCUUGUCUUACCUUUUCUUCUGAACAGUCAGGGUCUUUACCUCAGUCUCUGUAAACAAUACUUUGGAGUAUUCACUCAGUUGUGGUGGCCAGACCAGCAGUAACCAAUCACUAACUAAAACUACAACAGUGCUGACAUAUAGCUGUUGCGCUGUUGCCCCCAUGCCCACCAUGGACACAACACCCUGCCCAGACCUUCAGUCCUGAGCAAGCAGCAGUGGUUGAACCAAAAUACCACGCGGCCACUCUUGCGCAGAGUGCCUAGGACAAGCAUCUCAAUUUCCUUGAGCCCAGAGGUCUUCAGCACAAUGACAUGGUAACAGCUUUACGAGCAAACACUAUCUCACAAGUGAUGGGAUAUAAACCUGUUUUCAGAGAGCUGCUUGCAGUGCCAUAAGUCUGUGUCAUCGUCCCUUCCAUCAUACUCAUGCACGCUGAAAAGGCCACGAGAUUCAUUCAAAUCUUGGAGGCUUCUCUUAUCGAGUAACAAUAAAUGAAGCUCUGCAGGUCAAAUCUUGAUUAUAAAUUGCAUCCAAGUACCUGCUAAAUUGUAAAACUCUUGGGAAAGCUGAAAAUCACCAUUAUCAUUAAAUGCCACCCCUAAAAACGCAUAAGAAACAUUGUCGCUUGUUCUAGGGUGGAAGUUACUGUUAUGGAGACAUUACCAUUAACAAGUAUUUUUUACAUCAUCUAAAAAGUAUGUAUUUAGCUUAAUUGUGGUAAAACUAGAUAGUAUUCUGUUGAUUUCGUAAUUACCACAAAAACUGCAAAAUAAAAUACAUGUUUUGGGGGAGACUGAGAAUUUGAUGUAGUUUAUAAUCAACAACAUUGUUCACAAUGACAGAUCUGAGUAUACAGAAAUUAUUUCACGUCACAGCACUGGUGCUAACACUUGCUUUUCCACUUGCUUUUCAUUACCAUUGCAAAGUAGUUUUCAUAGACAGUGCUUAUUUUAGUCAUGGCAGAAACUAAUGAAUUUUUCAGACUUGUGUCUGGGUUUUAUUAUACUCCUAUACAAUCUUUUAUUAUACUCCUACAAAAUCUGGUUUUUAUGUAUUGUACUAUCAAAGAGUGGGCUGAGGAUGCCCUUACUUCCCUUUGAAUCUUUUUUACAACUUUAUAAUUCAGAAAUUUAAACUUCUCUUUACCCGUUAUGAACUGCUAACCUCUGAGUCUGGCCUUGGUUCUCCCGCUGGGUCACCAUGAAACGAUCUGCAUGAUGGUCACAUCCAGAGCCUCUCCUGUUUGGGCCCUGCUCUACUAAACAAUGUAAAAACAAGGCCGUAAAUAAUUCCCCCUCUCCCAGAGCCUGCAGUCUGCUAUGUUUACAGUACAGGUUUCAGUGAAGGAAAAGGACAGCUGAGCUAAUUCAUCUAAAGCUAACACUCAUAUCCCUGCUCCGUAAGCACAACCUAAGUAGGUAAGACAAGGGAGAGCAAAACGGGUACUAAAUAAGUGAUAGGAAAAGGGAAACUCAUAAUUCUUCCCUCCACGCAACUGACAUGAACGAGGUAUUCACAGCAAGAGAUCCAGCAGAGAAGACAAGGCAUCGAGUACAAGAAGCUGUCAGUCUGAACAUCAUUCUGCCCUUCCUAAGAAAUCCUUCUUCGAAGAGACAGGACCACCACAGAGCAAUUCCCAGCCCUGCUGGAUAUGGAAGCUGCUGGAGGAUGUUGCCAUAAGGCAGAACAUGUGGCUGCCCUGGUGCCCAGGGAAGGCAGCAGCACUGAUUGGCUUUGUGCUGUUUGCUAGCAAAAUAGAAAGAGAUAAGACAUAUGGAAGUUUGUCUAGCUGAUGCAACAAUGUACUAGAAGCCAGCAAACACUGAGCACUGCUCUGUUUCUUCUGCAGCUUUUACUUGGUCAGUUCAUAUUGCUCCAUAAAUCACUUUUCUCAUUCAAAAAAUAAAAAGACAAAAUAGGACAACAAUUUUUCUUACCUCUCCCUUAUGUGGAUAAUGAGUACUGAGCUGGCAGACCCUGGCACAGAAGUGGUCUGACAUAAAGGUGUGGAGAGAGCAGCAUUAAGGAGAAUAUGCCGUUUCUUCCUUGACCAGAUGGGGUUUGAGUGAAUGCCACCUAAUGCAGAACAGAGGAAGAAAAGUAAAGACGUUGUAUUGAUAGGUAGAUACUGUGAGGUCAAAGAGCCUUAAAAAAAAAAAAGUUUGAAAUAGCAUAAAAUUGAUACUUUCACACAAACAAUUAUUUCCCCUUGUACCAUC
ensembl:lncRNA